GUGGACUUUUAACAUAGCCAAUGACACCCAUUCCAUUCAAUAUGGUAGCAUUGAACAUAACUGGCAUGGCACCUGCAUAGAGUGGUUGACGACAAAAGGGCCAGGAAUAAGGGCAAUCUGUAAAAUCAAGAACACUAGGGAAGAUGCUUGCCCGAGGUUGAUAGCUCUUCAGGAUCUCAUAUGACUCUAACAGAUCAACUCUUCCUGCA
rnacentral:misc_RNA from 1 species